rnacentral:tRNA from 1 species
GCGUUGGUGGUUCAGGGGUAGAAUUCCUGCCUUCCACACACGGGAUACCUGGGUUCAAUUCCCGGCCAAUGCA